CAGACGGGUGAGUAAUGUCUGGGAAACUGCCCGAUGGAGGGGGAUAACUACUGGAAACGGUAGCUAAUACCGCAUAACGUCGCAAGACCAAAGAGGGGGACCUUCGGGCCUCUUGCCAUCGGAUGUGCCCAGACGGGAUUAGCUAGUAGGUGGGGUAACGGCUCACCUAGGCGACGAUCCCUAGCUGGUCUGAGAGGAUGACCAGCCACACUGGAACUGAGACACGGUCCAG
rnacentral:rRNA from 1 species